AUGGCGUGUCGUCAGCUCGUGUCGUGUAGAUGUUGGGUUAAGUCCCGCAACGAGCGCAACCCUUGUCAUUAGUUGCCAUCAUUGGUUGGGCACUCUAAUGAGACUGCCGGUGACAAACCGGAGGAAGGUGGGGAUGACGUCAAGUCCUCAUGGCCCUUAUGGGUAGGGCUUCACACGUCAUACAAUGGUCGGUACAGAGGGUUGCCAACCCGCGAGGGGGAGCUAAUCCCACAAAGCCGAUCGUAGUCCGGAUCGCAGUCUGCAACUCGACUGCGUGAAGUCGGAAUCGCUAGUAAUCGUGGAUCAGCAUGUCACGGUGAAUACGUUCCCGGGUCUU
rnacentral:rRNA from 1 species